UACGUAGGAGGCGAGCGUUAUCCGGAUUUACUGGGCGUAAAGCGGGCGUAGGUGGCUUGUCAAGUUGGAUGUGAAAUCUCCCGGCUUAACUGGGAGGGUGCAUCCAAAACUGAUGGGCUAGAGUGCAGCAGAGGGAGAUGGAAUUCCCGGUGUAGUGGUGAAAUACGUAGAUAUCGGGAAGAACACUAGUGGCGAAAGCGGUCUCCUGGGAUGUAACUGACACUGAGGCCCGAAGGCGUGGGUAGCAAACAGGAUUAGAUACCCUGGUAGUCCACGCAGUAAACGAUGGAUACUAGGUAUGGGGAGUAUCGACCCUUUCCGUGCCGAAGCUAACGCUUUAAGUAUCCCGCCUGGGGACUACGGUCGCAAGACUAAA
rnacentral:rRNA from 1 species